GAUUCUUUAACUAUGGUACUUUUCUUGUCCCUGGAUGAAAUAAUAAAAACUAAAAAACAUUUCUUCUUUUUUGUUUUUGUCAUACUUACUCCACCCUAAGGGGAACUUAUAAAAAAUGUAUCAUGGCUCAAUCAUUCUUUUUAUUAUAUAAUAUGAGGCCUUUUAUGCAUGGUUUUUACUGUUUUCCCUCUGUCCCUAAGCCAGACUUUGUAUCUUCAACCUCGCUUAAUUCUAAAUUAAAUAUUUAAAUAAUGUAGAUUUCAAGUACAAAUGAUAAAAUACCAUUUAUUUCAAUUCUACAUAUUAUAUAUUGUGAUACAUAUUCACAUUUUCCUAUAUUUUUCAUAAAUAGAACCCUUGUCCCUUGGGGUCACUGUCAUUUCCACCACACUGUACAAAAUAGAAUCCUGGGAUCAGUGUUUUAGGUUUGUAUAUUUAGUAACCAUAGCAACAGAAACUCCACAGUGGAACACAUGGCUGGAUGAAAUGGUGUCCUCUACAGGGGGUAAUGAAAAGAAGAAAAAUCAAGAUGGCAAGCAAUACCACAGCACAGAGGUCAAGAUCAUACAGAGAAAGAAUAAAAUCAGAUCCACUUAAAUAUGCAGAGUCCCUCAAGAAGGACAGAGAAAGAUACCUGAAGAAAAAGCAACAAGGUGUUGUUAAAUCUGUGACAGAAAUGCCGAAAAGAGAACAACGAAAAAUGAGAAGACAGUGGCGAAUUUCUCAACGAAACAGACGUAGGAAAUGGAAAAUGGUCUCAGCAGUGAAUAGUUUCAUGGCACAUACAACACCACCACCAUCACCAGACAACAUGAGUGUUAAUGCAGAAGACAUCCCUGAAACACCUCAGCUGUGUGAGCCUACACCAGAGAGAACUCCACAGAGGAAAAGAGGGAGAAAAAAGGUUGCGAAGGCAAAAGCAAAGGUGUA